GAUGAAGAACGCAGCGAAAUGCGAUAAGUAAUGUGAAUUGCAGAAUUCAGUGAAUCAUCGAAUCUUUGAACGCACCUUGCGCCCUUUGGCCAUUCCGAAGGGCAUGCCUGUUUGAGUAUCAUGAACACCUCAACUCUUUAUGGUUUUCCAUGAUGAGCUUGGACUUUGGGGGUUUUGCUGGCCUAUGGUCGGCUCCUCUAAAAUAAAUCAGCUUACCAGUGUUUGGUGGGUAUCAUGGGUGUGAUAACUAUCUACGCUUGUGGUUUGUCCGCCAGGUAACCUUCGACAGCGGAGGUUCACUGGAGCUCAUAGAUGUCUCUCCUCAGCGAGGACAGCCCUUUGAAUGUUUGAUCUCAAAUCAGGUAGGACUACCCGCUGAACUUAAGCAUAUCAAUAAGCGGAGGA
rnacentral:misc_RNA from 1 species